UGUAUAAAAAGCAAACCUUAGCAUAAAGAGCUCUACUGCUUGUUUCACUUUUUAAAUGACACAUCGUAAAGAACAGUCCUUCCUGGAAAUCCUCAGAACUCAACCACACUGCCAAGCAGAGUUGCACUUCAGCAUCUACAUGAACCACAGAGAGAGCUGUGAGGUCUUCCCUUCAAGUACUUCAUCCUUACAGUACAUUUUGUGUUACUCUUGUAUUUGGACUCUGCAGCGGGUUUCCUUUUACCUGGGCUCUUUCCUAUGGCCAUUCAAGCUGGUUGUUUCCCAUUAGCAUGUUGCAAGCUCUGUGUUCUGCCUUCUUUGGAAAGAACAGACCUCGGAACCAAAGUGAGACCAGAGCUGCUUCUUCCCAACCAGAAACUCCUGCACUGUUUCCUCAGAGGCCAUUGGCACCAAUAGUACUUACAUCAUGGAGUCAGUCUCUCUUAAUUUCAAGAGCAUGCAACGCCUAACACCAGCUUGGGUGACUUAACAUAGUUUUAAAGAGGCCUGCUAAGUCAGAGCAUAAUGGCACAGGCCUCAGUUCCAGAAAAUUGGAAAGCACAGCCUGCCGUAAGUCAUCUACACAAUGCAACACCUCAGCAGGUCCUUCUGGCCUGAUAACUUUUAAGUGCUUGCUUAAGAUCCAUUAAGAUUUUGUCCUAGCUAAUUUUGGGUAAAAAUGGGAGAAAGUAGGGUACUGUUUAGGCUUCUGUUUUGCUUUGAGGAAGUACAAGUGGAAAAAUAGAAUCAGAAGGCUUUAAUCCUGAACUUUAACCCUUUCUUUGCCCCAUCCACUCUAUCCUGUGCUUCUGGUUGGAUUGUCACUCAAGUGUUUUGAGGGCAGUAGCUUGCAAGACUGAAACAUAACAUUGCUGAUACUGUCCUUUUCACAUUGAGGAGCUCUAAGGAGAUGCUGAGACAACUCAGUAGCAUGUGAGGUUUUUUAAAAGCUGAUAUAAAUUGUCUUUGACUGACAAAGAGAAAAUUUCCUUAAUCCGAGAUUGUACUUGAUGACUUCUGGGUGGUUUUUUUAAAGGGACCUUUUACUUAGCUGUAGUGAUACUAAGUAUACAAUUUCAACUAUGGGAUCAAGUUUCUGGAGUUACCAUAUGUGUCAGUGUAACAUUACAUGCUAGUUUAUAUAGCAAAUGCUGAGAUAAAUUUUUAGAGUAGUAGUAACACGCACCUGCCGUAUGUAAAUACAGCUGGAAACCAAAGACCGUAUAGAUCUCUAACAGGUUGAAGGCAGAAUCCCAAGCACAUGUAGAGUCAGUUGAUUUCAGUGGACUCCCUCUGGGCUGCUGUUCUUUUGGAUCAGGUCUUUUGUUUCCAGUGCAAAUAUGCAGGCUGAACUUCAUCCUACAUAUGUUUAUGGUUAUAUUUUACUGGAAACAUUUCAGACAAUGUUGUUAGAAUACUGCUGUCCAAGAUCUGUUAGCUGUUGUCUAUUUUUGGUAUGCAUCAUUCAGAAGGAAAGUUUUGAAGCCUUUCAGUAGCUUUAAAGAUAUUUACAGUGAGCUCUUCUGAGCUUAUUCAAACACUGUCUUGAAAACUGAAUGAGAGAUGAAGGCUGAUAAGAAAGUCCAGUCAGAGGCAGGACACCUCUUAAGAGUGAGUAUAUGUAAUAAUGAUACUUAGAAACAAGCCCUUGAAGUUGAGGUUGCAGUAGGGAGAACUAAGUAAAAGGAAUUGCAUGAUCAACAUUUACAGGUUAGGAGGAGGAUCUUUGCAGCAGCAUUGUUAGGAUGGAUGGUUGAAAAUCAGUAAAGCAACAAAAAGUGUUGCAGAGUGAGAAGGACCCUCAGAGGAACAAGAAGAAAUCGCUGUUAGGAAUGAAGACACGAUGGGGUUUGCAGCUACAAAACUAAGGGAUGUCAAGAAUUCAAGAAGUUUUGUGGAAGAUAUAUGAAGGAAGAUGGAGCACUGGCCUAUUCCUUUGUCCGGUUUCAUCCUGCGUAUUUUCCAGCUGUUGGAACAGUGUAGUUACUGACUUUGGAAAGGAGAGGGAAGUGCGAUGGUAAUUAGCAGAGUCAAAGUUCCUAUUUUAAAUGAGAAUGUCUAAGAAUGCUUUUAAUGAAGGAGACUGAAUGGGGAAGGAGGUGUUUGUAGAGAAGGAUGAGAAGGGCUGAGAAUGGCUGUCAUGGAUAUAUCUGUGUAGGAUGCUGCCAGUAAGCCUGUGGAGUAGUUUGGGAGCAGAUGAGAAACAUCUGUAUGUGUGUGAGGAGGGUAGUAGAGGGAGUUGUUGGAAGGGUGAAGGAAAGGCAAGCUCAAGAAGUGGGAAAGGCCACUUUGUAUUGUGCAGGCUUUCUUUCAGGAGGAAUUAAUGAGAUCUUUUUGAGAGAGAGAUGGCAUGGGAUGGAAGAGAUGAGAGGCAUGAGAUGAGACAAUUGUGGCAGAAAGUCAGCAAGGAUCAUGGAAUUCCAGCCUUUUCUGUGGCUGUAGGAAUACAUUGGAAUAAAAUCCUCUGCAGAGGGUCUCCUCCAUCCCUACUUGAAUAUGGUUUGUUAGAAUAUGCACCUUCCUGACCACAUGAUGCAGCAGUCACAUAGCUAACUGCUCUCCUGCCAUCGGUCAUGAUUGUGAUUGCAAUUGGCUAAGGGACACAGUCUCUGUUCCAAAGCUCUUGCAGUCUUAGGUCCUGGUUGCUUCAAAACAGCUUCCCAAGGAGCAAUUUCAGUGUGCAAUUUCAGAACCUACUAGCUAGUUGAUAUAAAAAAUCCAGUAUCUUAGUUCUGUGGAUACAAUCAGGAAGAGAGAGGGCUUUUCCCAAGUCAUGUAGGGGUUUUGAACAAAUUGCUACCGUUUAAUAUUUUGGCUGUUGUAAGAGAGAGAAAACGGGAAACAUGAAGGAGAAGCGUGGGAAGAAUAGGAAAAACGAGGACAAGAGUGUAACUGAGAUUUUGUCUGUUUAGGUUUAUGUAAUGCAUCUGAAAGCACUGAUAGUUUUCAUGUUAAACUUUAAAUCCAGAUUAACUAUGAGCAUUUCUAGCUGCAGCUUCAAAGCUCACAAUUUAUAACUACCUAUCAGUCUUUUUUUUAAUGAAAUGCUGAAUAGAACACAUUUGUCAUGAGCAGUGUACUGGCUUAGUGGCAGCUGACAGAUUUCCUUGUUUACAUACUGACAUUGGGCUUAUAGGCUAUCUAAAAUGCAUUAUUAUUUUGAUGUUCAUGAGUUGGUUACAUGUGCUGAGGAAGCUAACAGCUUAUGACCUCAACCUUCUGUAUGUUUUUCUCACAAGCAUGCUUUUAAAUGCAUUCACUCCCACUGAUAUAAGAUGUACUGUCUAUAACUUCACCUAGAAAAGUGUGACUGCUCCUCUGUGAAGUUAUUUUAAUAUUUAAGCCACUGUGGAGACUUAUAAGAGACAGAUCAGAAAAUAAAAAAUAGCUUGUGGAUUCAGAGGCUGAUAGAGCAUUUUUAUGAUCAUGCUGUUGUGUUGAAAGAAGACUGGUGAGGUAUUCACGUAAAGGUGGGUAGCAAUUAUUUUUUAGUAUUUUUUAGUGUCUGCUUAAAAAUAUGUACAAAUUUUUAUGUUGAUUAUGGAACAAUUAUGUUGCAUAUAUAAGAGAUAUUUUCUGCUUUUAUAUUUAGAUUUAGUGGUAAAUUAAUCUGAGAUAAUUGACAGUGAUUGUACUAAAGCCAAAACAAUUGAUGCUAGUGCUCAGCUUGGUGUGUUGGAAUAAUAUCCAAGUGAUAGUAUGUAAUUUUACAAUAUAAUAACCUGUCAUUAUCAAGCAAGGGUUUUUUUCUCUAAUUAUGAGAUGAACAUUUCAGAGCUGCCCAUUAGUCAUCCUCCCACCUUUUGUCUUGCUGCCAUCUCAUUUUUCUUUAUGGUUUCCUUCUGAUGCUCAUAUAUGUCAUGAUUUUUGUGGUUUAGUAAACAAACACACAUUCUCUACUUUAAAUCUAGCUCUUAGCUGGUGGAAAUCACCAACUUGAACUUUCAUAAAGUAACAAAACAUUUAUAAAGAAGAAACAAAUGAACCAUUUCCUGGGUUUACUUUGCUGCUUUACUUAAGCUUCCUGUGGGUGGCCUUUUUCUGUUGUUCUCUUGCUGCACUGCCAAUAGCUAUUAUGGUCCAUUUGGAUAGAUGCUGUGUGUGCUUUUUUCAAGACUAUUCUGUAUGUCAAUAAAAAGUAGCUCUAUAUAAAAAAAAAAAAAAAA